CAGUACAAAACAGUACAAGAAGAUGUUCAAUAUGAAUAAUGUCAAACUGCAUUUUACUGAGAAUUCGUUGAGAUUGAUUGCCAAGAAA